rnacentral:tRNA from 1 species
AGAAGGUUAUUGUAGGUCGCAUAGAAGAUUUUUAAUCUUGCUGGAUAUUCCUUCUC